GCAAAGCCACCCCCCCUUCCGCCCCUGCCCUCCCGAGCCCCGGGGAAAAUGCUUUCCAGCAUUGUCGAGCUUCUGAAAGACAAAACUUGUGAUUUGACACUAGCAUCCAGAAAAGGUUUCUGUCUAGAUUAGCAAAUGCCUAAAUUGUUCUUGGUUACGUCCCAUGACCAGUUUUAGGCAGUGACUUCAUACUGCUUUUAGGAUUUUCUUGUACACUGGUGAGAAAAUAGGCAGGUCUGAUAGUGGUUUCACUUUUUUUCUACUUCACGUUCCAUAAGAUUCUUUUAUCCAAGCGAUUGUUUUAAAAUUCUACUGUAAGCGUUUGUGGUUCACUUUUUUUUUCUUUGCAGCACCCGGGCCUUUUUUUUUUUCUCUAAAUCGGGAGUAAAUAUAGCUGAGUAAAAUUACCUUGGUUAUCUUCCUUCUUUUUAAACUUAAUUGUUUUUAUUAAUAAUUCUAUUUGAAUAUGCAGAAAAAGUGGGUAUGUCCUGUAAUCUAUGCUAGCUUUUCUCGUUUACAGGGUACUCACAAAAUAUGUCUCCCUUAGUGUCCCACAGAAACAUUCUGGGUGAAAUCUGAAUUAAGUGCUAUGAGUCUUGAUAAAUUGGAGAAGUGCCCAAGAGAAAUUCAUCAUCCUGAGAUACAAAAGGUAGGAAGUGACUUUUUUUGGUUUGGUUCUUUUUCUUUAUUGUUUUCUGGAAAUAGAAGUAAUUAAGUAUAGAUACUACUGGUUUGUUUCUUCCAGUAGCUGAUAAUACUAAUACCAAUAAUAAUAAUAAUAAGAGUAAAGUAAUACUACUUAAACUGUCUUUAUUUAUCCAUUGAACUGGCCAUUUUAAAUCUAAACUUCUAAACACAAAUCAAACCAUCAUCCUUGUAGAAUCUUUAAUAGGAGUGGGCUAAAGAUCCUGGUUUUGUUGACAGGAUUUAUUGGUUCAUGAAGAGCAAGAGGUAAGUACAAGCCUAACUACCCUCUAGCUCACAGACCUGCCCGGUGAAUAGAGCUUUGUUUUUUUGAUGGGCUUGUGAUGACUUUGAGAUCAAUUGCUCAUUCAUUACAGUAAAAAAAAAAAAAAUUGUUUUGAACAUGACAGCAAAAAUAACUUUAAGCACAACUUAAUAAUAAUAGAUCACCAAUUUUAGUUAAUAAUUUUAUGCUAUACUCUUGGGUGAGGGAAGACUCGGACACUCAAUAUGAGAUCAGCAAGCUAUGUUUAUUGCAGAGAGUAUCAGACACUUAUACAGCACAUAAUAAGCUUAUGAAUAUUCUGUAAGCCAAGCGAUCUAUUGGUUAAACUAUACCAUCAACUCUUCCUCAUUCCUUUGGGCCUACAUUCCCUAUUUCCCACGUCUCUCUGUCUACUUGUUAUCCUACCCAGCUAGGCCCAGGCACACGCUAUCUUGCAGGUGCAAAACUCAAAAAUACCUGUGUUCGGUACUUUCCCAACUCCUGGUCGGCUAACGAGCGAAUGUCUGCGUGACCUCUGUCAUGGAGCCAUUUCUCCACACUAUACUAUCAAAGUUUAAAGGGAUCAGUGAAUUUUAACUCUGGAGUCCUCUAUGCUAAGGAUGCUCAGCUUACAGAUGAUGAAAUGUUCAGUAAUGUAUUUGCUGCAGCUCUGCUUACCCAAGCUUUGGGUUCCUUCUGUCCCACUGGGAGUGGCCCAAUUUGGUUGCAUCUGGUGAAAUUCACCCUGAGACCUUACAGAACCAGCUCCAACUACGUGAGAGCCAUUUGCAGUUCUCUCCAGACGCCUGGAGAAUGGGCGACGUUUCUGAGGAUCCGGCGAGUGUGCUUCUGUC